GGCCUCAUAGCUCACUGGUUAGAGCACUGGCCUCGUAAACCAGGGUUUGUGAGUUCAAUUCUCACUGAGGCCU